rnacentral:misc_RNA from 1 species
UGUAGGAGUGAGCCUGCUCGCGAUAGCGGUAUGUCAGCUGAAAGUGUGUUGACUGAUACACCGCUAUCGCGAGCAGGCUCACUCCUACA